UAAUACGUAGGGUGCAAGCGUUAAUCGGAAUUACUGGGCGUAAAGCGUGCGCAGGCGGUUCGGAAAGAAAGAUGUGAAAUCCCAGAGCUUAACUUUGGAACUGCAUUUUUAACUGCCGAGCUAGAGUAUGUCAGAGGGGGGUAGAAUUCCACGUGUAGCAGUGAAAUGCGUAGAGAUGUGGAGGAAUACCGAUGGCGAAGGCAGCCCCCUGGGAUAAUACUGACGCUCAUGCACGAAAGCGUGGGGAGCAAACAGGAUUAGAUACCCUGGUAGUCCACGCCCUAAACGAUGUCAACUAGCUGUUGGGGCCUUCGGGCCUUAGUAGCGCAGCUAACGCGUGAAGUUGACCGCCUGGGGAGUACGGUCGCAAGAUUA
rnacentral:rRNA from 1 species